rnacentral:rRNA from 1 species
UGGGCGCAAGCCUGGAUGCAGCCAUGCCGCGUGUAUGAAGAAGGCCUUCGGGUUGUAAAGUACUUUCAGUCGUGAGGAAGGCGGCGUCGUUAAUAGCGGCGUUGUUUGACGUUAGCGACAGAAGAAGCACCGGCUAWCUCCGUG